CCCUACCUUGGCUUGCAAAAGGGUGAAACUGAUUGAUCCUUGUCGCUUUUAUUACUUUAAUAGUAACCUUGAUUAUCUCAACUAAUCAAUUACAAAUUUCUUGCCUAUUCAAUGGACUACAAAAAGCCUUAACCGAUUGUUUCACCCCUUACUUCUUGUUAUUCCCUGACUUUUUCUUGCUUCCUUAAAAUCAUUCUUGUAAUCUUCUUAUAAUCUUAUUUCUCUCCCUUGAUAAUUUCAUUUCUAUAUUUUAAUCAUAACUUCCUAUAAUUCACAAAGCCUUCAUUAAACCAAAGGAAACAUCCCUAGUAUGCUUUGACCUUUCCAAAAUCAUCUUACUCUAUGUCGUUCUACUAUUGGUGUGACCACUGAACCAUUCUUUCUAGGACCCCUUGGCUCCAAACUACCAUUGGAUUGCGAAUGAUUUGGUGCCGAUAGGAAUCCUAGAGAAUUAUGAACUGAUAUGCAUCUUAUCCCUAAUUAUGUAAGAUGGCUUUCUAGGGUGAGUUCGGCUAAAGAGAAGAACUAUAAAAUAUAGGGCAUUUACCACAUGAUCAAGCUUUCAAAGAUAGAUGUGACCUUUGACAUGGAGCACCUUUUUGGUCUCCUUGGCUACUAGUCAGUAGAUGCUAAAUAUUUUUUUUUCUUUGGUGUAUGAUGACCAUUACCUUCCUUGAUGUGGCUUCCUUUCAUGCCAUGCCCAUCUUAGGGUUUUAAGCACUGGUGACAACUUGGCUCAAACUGUUGUGCCCAUCAACCUUCUACAUCCUUCCUCCAAACCAUCCACCAGAGACAAGGCUCCUUCAACUUGCAAAAAGGAAUGAGACAAUAAUUGACUUGGAAGAGGAAGAUGAAGAAAACCAGCCCCCAAGAAAAUUAAGGAAUAGAGAAAGUAGUAUUCAUAUCAACUAACCAUUAGAUUCCUUGAAUUUCAAAUUUAGUCGAAGCAGCAUUGGCAUCAGUCGACAUAAGGAAAAUAUCAAAGAUAAUUUAUCGUCCUUAAAAUGUUAUUUAACUUCUAUUUUAGAUUUUCUUUCUACCUUUCUCUUACUUUUCUUUCUCUUGUUUUAGAAAGUGAAGACUUAUCACUCUAACCCAACAGAAGAAAUGGCACGCACUCAAUGAAAUCAUUAGUGUAACAAACUAUUCUAAAAAAGCACAUUUGUUAUCAUCAAAAGUACUAGAUUGGGUAUUACAAGGAAUAAAAGAGGUGCAUGAUUGUCACCAGAAUUGGCUCGUUUGGCCUCCAACUAUUUGACUUGUUGAUCCUCAUUAUGGACCAUGCCAACAAGUUGGAGUGAGAUGAUAUACGUGUUGUUAUCUUUCCACAUGUCAACUUGUUGUCUAUUGAAAGAUGUGAUCAAAACCAUUUGUUGCUCAAGCGGAUUAACUGCUUCGUCCCUAUAAACAUUAAUAACCACUACAAGAAGUUUUCAUUAUUAUGACACUUAGCCUGCGACAGUUAUAAAAUAACCAUCCUCACUACAACAAUGCGACAGGUCUUGGGGCGAUUUUUUUCAACUGUCGCCUCCCUUUAAAGAAAACUCAAAUCACUAUCGUGUUUCAUUUUCCGUUUUGAUGUCUUCAUUUCUCAGUCUCGUGUUGUCUCCGUUUCUCAAUUUCUCCAAAGCCUAAAACUUCUGAAAAGCCCCAAAUCUCACCAACCUUUCUCAACGCUGAAGGAAACGAAAUCCAACUUUGAAGAAAAACGAAAUCACCUUUUUCAAAGAAGGUGAUUUAUCCUCUUGCAAAAAAAUUAGCUAUUGCAAAGUGUAAAUGUGUUUGGAGUCUCAAUCUCGUGAACAAAAUAGAAUCAUCAUAUGAGGAUAUUCAACGCAAAACAAUGGAAGAGAAUAAAAAAAGGAUGAAGGCUCUCAAUCUAAAUCAUCUCUCUCAAUCCCUUCACAAAUCUUCUUCUACCAUUUCAAAAACCUCAUCGGUUAAUAAUAACUCAAAAUACUAAUAAUAUAACAUGUUUCUUAUUCAUAUUAUAUGUUCAUUUUUAUUUAUUUACAUGGAUAAUAAAUGAUUGUAGCAUUCACAAAGGGUGGCUCGAGGCCUAUACUACCUGAAGAUCUUGAAGUAGCCAAAAUGAAGCACAUGUGGAUACAUGGUUUACAACCAACAAUCCAAACGACAGCUCUGCCACCUUCCCAGGUGACAACACCACCAGUAAUGCAUACGAUAGAACCACUACCUUCUCCAAUGACAACACCAUCAACUGCAGUGCAACCGACAAAAUCACCUCUUUCUCAAGUGACAACACCAAGAGCAGUGCAAGUGAUAUACGCAACACCUUUUCAAGAGACAUCCUCUCACUCUCAAGAUGAGCUAGAAAUUUCUCGAAAAAGGAAUUCUACAUAUUGGGAUGUAGAAGUUAUUAGUAUGUUAUCUAAUAUCUAAUUAUAUGUAUAUAAUUUAAUUAUUUUACAUGGUUGAGGUAUGAAAUAUUUCAUUGAAUUAUGUGUUAGAUGAGGCGGGACAUAUUUCAAAGACACACUUAAGGAUGUUAGACAUGCUUGAAGCUCCUCCUAAUGUUAACAGAAUAGUAACUAGAUGGAAUUCAGAUAGGCAACUGGUAGGAUCGGCUGUUGGUUAGUUAUGCAGUUUUUUGGGUGAAAUUGCAAGGAAGUUUAAGGAUUUUCAUAUCAUGUACGACAAUUGGAAACUAGUUCCAUCGACAAGAAAAAAUGAAAAUUUUAAGGAUAAAAUAAAGGUAUUAAUGAUAAACAAUUGAAUAUUCUUUAUUAUUGUUUUGAUUGUAAACUAAGUUUUUUUAUGAUUAUGUUUUUGUCAAAAUUGGAUGUUGACGAUGGAGACAACAAAAAAUAUAUUCUUACAAGCCUUGAAAAGAAAUGGCGAGAUGCACGAUGUAAGUUGUUUAAGAAAUUUUAUAAGUGGGAUCUUUCUUUUGAGGAAAACCAACAAAAUUAUUGACAUUCUAUAAAUCAAGACCAUUGGACUAUUUUUGUUCAAUAUAGACGUAAGACAAAAACAACGGUAACCAUUCUUUUGUUGCAUUGUGAUUUGUUUUCUACUAUUAUGUCUUUUGAUGUCAUUUUUAUCACUGCAGGAGAAGGCUGAUAAAAAUGCUGCAAAUAGAGAAAAGCUAACGAUCCUUCAUACAAUAAGCCCUAAGACGCUUGCAAGGAAGAAUGAUGAGUUGGAAGGAUUCACUCAAUCUUCUAUUAAUUGAACUUAAUUUAACAAGUACUUAUUAUAUGUGUUUACUUGUAGAAAAUCAGAGAUGGUCGAAAAUACAGUAGGGGUGAAAUAUAUUCAAUUUUGUCAUAAAAAGUCUGAUGGGUCAUUUGUCAAUGACGAUGCCAAGGAAAAAUAUGUAAAUGUAAA